rnacentral:lncRNA from 1 species
GGGUCAGAGUUGACUAGCAAUUGAAACUUAGGGCAGAGAGGUAGUGAAUUCUAAAAGGUAGUCUAGUACUUUUGAAAAUGAGGGCACUUGUUUUAAUCUACAUUUUGGGCUGGAAUCCUCUGGAAGGACAUUUAUAGGGGAAAAAAUGGACCUUGGUUAAUAAGAUUUAGAUAGGUGGAGAACAGAGUAAAGACAAUCAUUGAUUCAUUUACUUAUUCCUUCAAGAAAUAUUUAUGAAACUGCAUCACAGCAUCUCUGCAAAACAUUACUAUGAGGUGACAUUGUCAUCUACAGAUGCAACUCAAUCAAAAACAGCAAGUCUGAGGAAACAGUAACAACAACCUUGUAACCCUGUAUUCACUGCAUUCUAUGCAUUUACCUCCGGCCAACCAUCUCACAAAGGUAAUCUAAUCCACUGACCAUAAAGAGAACUAAGUAAGAGACUGGAGAUCGAAUCAGUGAAAAAUAUUUAUUGAGCAGCUUUCACUAAAUGAGGAUCUGGAAAUGAGUAAGACCCAAUAUCUCCCUCAAAAGCUUACUUACAGUCAACACAAAUCCAUCCAACCACUUGAGAAAAAUUCUUCUUCAUUAUGAAUAAGUCAGUAUAUCUUUAAAUGGACGCUACUAGAUGGGUGUACAUUAAAG